CCCUUGCAGCCGCGUCCUACUCUCUCUCUCUCCUGACCUCUCUCUCCUCUUCCCUAUGCUACAACCGCAAACUAUCAUCUCCGGCCACCACCUUGCAACACCGCCUCCACCCUUCGAACCAGCACCCAAAUCCGACCAAAACCCGAACCCAGCACCAUCGUCUUCGACCUCUUCACGCGACCACCAAAAACCCCGGCACCACUGCCCUUCCUCCUCCGUCGAUUUCUGACCAUCACCUUGCCACAAUGACGUCGCUGCCUGACUUAGCAAGCAACGAGGAGCAAAACCCAGAAGUUCCGCCACCCACCGAAGCCGGACAAGCCUGCACGAGCGCCGCCGGAAUCUCUUCUUCUGUUGAGAUCGAUUCACCAUUCUCCGGCCUCGCCUGAGCAACACCACCUCCAGAAAUAGGAUCAACGUCGCGUCAAUUUCCAAAACCACCAAAUCAAGACCUCCGAUUCUGACCAGAGCCACCACCACCGUGGACGCCGCAGUGAGCGUCACC
rnacentral:lncRNA from 1 species